rnacentral:ribozyme from 1 species
UAGUACUGUUGUUGGUACGGGAGAUGGGGAUGUGGAGGAUGAGGGGACGAGCAUUCACUUGACUUUUAAUAUCGAAUCGCACGUUUGGCAGUUGGAUUAUCUCUCCGCGAGACGAUUGGCGU